rnacentral:rRNA from 1 species
UACGUAGGGGGCUAGCGUUGUCCGGAAUCAUUGGGCGUAAGAGCUUGUAGGCGGCCCGGUAAGUCCGCUGUAAAAGUCAAAGGCUCAACCUUUGAAUGUCAGUGGAUACUGCCGGGCUAGAGUCCGGAAGAGGCGAGUGGAACUCCUGGUGUAGCGGUGGAAUGCGCAGAUAUCAGGAAGAACACCAACGGCGAAGGCAGCUCGCUGGGACGGUACUGACGCUGAGACGCGAAAGCGUGGGGAGCGAACAGG